rnacentral:tRNA from 1 species
GGGGAUAUAACUCAAAUUGGAUAGAGUACUUUUAUUGCAAAAUUGUAGUUAGCGGUUCAAGUCCGCUUAUCUCCA